rnacentral:tRNA from 1 species
GGGGCAGUAGUUUAACGGGUAAAACACCGUUCUUGGCAAGCGGGAGUUUGGGGUUCGAGUCCCAACUGCUGCA